CAGGCUGAUCAGCUGGCUGAGACCGAGGAGACCCGGCUCCUGUGGCAGAGGACACCCCUAAGUUAGGUGCUUCCUCCUGCCUCAUACAGCAAGCCUGACCCCAUCUGAAGACAUCAGGAAAAGUGGCAGACUUUCGAUGCCCAUGUGUUGGGGAUCGCUACUGGCCUUGAGAAAGCAAAGGCCAGUGAUGCUGCUAAACAUCCACAAGGCCCGUAUGAUCCCUCAGAGUGAGACUGCAUCUCCCAACAGAGCCUCCCUUGAGUUGGUGUGAUGUUUUCUGAGCAGCUUCAGGGUGGGCACCCUCCACCAGAGCCCUGCACAGUGGCAUGGAAGCCUUCACCAGCGCUUGUCUCUGGCAGUGCACAAGCACAGCUAUCCCUCCUUGUGAUAUUAACGUCAGUCCCUGCAUGAAGAUGUUUAAUGACUUCCCCGUUGUGUGACUACUGCCCACAGUCAGGCACAGAGACCCUGCAAACACUCCUCUCUCCAGCAAAGCACUGACCUGGACUUAGCAUCCACCGACGUUUCCUUUUAUCCUGGUGUAAUCUUUGGCAAUAGCUGCAAAACAAGUAUCUCAUCUUCCCUGUUCCCUUUGUUUUGUUACUACCCUGCCCAGCCCUGAAGCCAGUCAGUUUCUCCAGAAACACUGGUCAAUAGCUUCUGUGUAGACUAGAAACAACCACUCAUAAGACACACUGGCAGUUUGGUUCUUAGAUCAGCAUUUAAAA